rnacentral:lncRNA from 1 species
AGAGGGAAGACCAAAUGGCCAAGGGGGGUGCGGCGGCCUGCUCAAUGUUUUUUUCCAAAAGAGAGGAGGGGGCUGCGGCUCAGGAAGAAAAUCCUUAGGUUUAGGUCUAGGUUUUUUCUUUUGUUUUCCCCCACAUUUUCUCCGCGCCUCCCCCCCAAAAUUUUCCUCCGUGAAUCAAGUUUCUUCUCCCCUUUUUUUUCACUGUAGCAUGGUAUUUAUAGGAGAAGUUUUGCUAGGUUUCCAAACUGGUCCCUCAACUUUUCCUUUUCUUUUUUUUUUGUAAAUUUUGAUUUUUCUUAUUUUUUUGUAUUUUUUAAAGCAAACAAUAUCAACAUUGACUCAACAAGAAAAAUUAGUGAUUGUAAAAUUUAC